rnacentral:ribozyme from 1 species
UUUUUUUUUUUUUUUUUUUUUUUUUUUUUUUUUUUUUCGC